rnacentral:lncRNA from 1 species
AUGCAGCGUCCACGUGGGCUCGUCUUCAUCGCCACAGCUCAACGGUCCCUUGCUGAGGUGAAGCCAGACGCUAACGUGAAGCUGGUCCUGGAUCUGUCAGCAGCGAGGCCGCAGAUCGAGACACGAGCCAGUCCAAGUUCCUGGUAUGUCAACAAGCUCACGGACGCCAAGCUCGGCUCUGGUCUCCUCGGCCCUCUGACGUCUGAGCAUCUGAUUCGAACGGAACGCCUCAUCUGGCCGGGCCGAGCGGGGCCGAGCUCCAGAGCAGCUGGCGUGGCUCCGGAGCAGCCCCCCCGCCCCCCCAGUCACUCUCCACUUCCCCCUCUUGUUGGGCCGGAUCAUGUGACCGGGAAGAGUGGCUCCUCUCGCCACUUCCCCUCCUGGCUGAGAGGAUAUUUUGUAAGAGGGGGGCCGGCGCAGCUCUGUGACGUCGCCGGUUAAAAAUAACCGGCAUAUUUAAGGCUGCGGAGGAAUCCCAGGACAGGCAAAGGCUGGACAGCCUGCCGCCCGACAGGAGCUCCUUCCUCCCGCUCCCUCCCGCUCCGUCAUGCCUUCUCCCGCUCCGCUUCCUCCUCCAAAGCCGUUUCCUCUUCCACGCCACCACCGACCCACAGCCACAGCCACAUUUUCCUACACACACGGAAGCCCACCUGUAAAUUACAGGAGGCGCCGGCCUCUCGCAGGACGGGCCCGGCUCUGUCCAAACAAACGCUGACUCGCCGUGCACCACCACGUCUGUUAGUGUCAGAGACCUUUGGGAAAUAAACAGCGACCUAUUUUGACCUAACAAUGACCAGACCUAAUUUUCCUUCGCAUUAACCUUGUGGAAUUGGUCUCUGCUGGCGGGUGAAUUCCUGGAGGACAGCAGCAGGUGGGGGGAGCCCAGCCGGGC